GAUGAACGCUGGCGGCGUGCCUAAUACAUGCAAGUCGAGCGAACAGACGAGGAGCUUGCUCCUCUGACGUUAGCGGCGGACGGGUGAGUAACACGUGGGUAACCUACCUAUAAGACUGGGAUAACUUCGGGAAACCGGAGCUAAUACCGGAUAAUAUAUUGAACCGCAUGGUUCAAUAGUGAAAGACGGCUUUGCUGUCACUUAUAGAUGGAUCCGCGCCGCAUUAGCUAGUUGGUAAGGUAACGGCUUACCAAGGCAACGAUGCGUAGCCGACCUGAGAGGGUGAUCGGCCACACUGGAACUGAGACACGGUCCAGACUCCUACGGGAGGCAGCAGUAGGGAAUCUUCCGCAAAGGGCGAAAGCCUGACGGAGCAACGCCGCGUGAGUGAUGAAGGUCUUCGGAUCGUAAAACUCUGUUAUUAGGGAAGAACAAAUGUGUAAGUAACUAUGCACGUCUUGACGGUACCUAAUCAGAAAGCCACGGCUAACUACGUG
rnacentral:rRNA from 1 species